rnacentral:rRNA from 1 species
UACGUAGGGGGCAAGCGUUAUCCGGAUUUAUUGGGCGUAAAGCGUGUGUAGGCGGUUUAUUAAGUUUAAGAUCAAAGCCCGAGGCUCAACCUCGGUUCGUCUUAAAAACUGGUAAACUUGAGUAUGGUAGAGGCAAGUGGAAUUUCUAGUGUAGCGGUUAAAUGCGUAGAUAUUAGAAGGAACACCAGUGGCGAAGGCGGCUUGCUGGGCCAUUACUGACGCUGAGACACGAAAGCGUGGGGAGC